rnacentral:rRNA from 1 species
UUAAGCGACUAAGCGUACACGGUGGAUGCCCUGGCAGUCAGAGGCGAUGAAGGACGUGCUAAUCUGCGAAAAGCGUCGGUAAGGUGAUAUGAACCGUUAUAGCCGGCGAUGUCCGAAUGGGGAAACCCAGUGCAAUUCGUUGCACUAUCGUUAACUGAAUACAUAGGUUAACGAGGCGAACCGGGGGAACUGAAACAUCUAAGUACCCCGAGGAAAAGAAAUCAACCGAGAUUCCCCCAGUAGCGGCGAGCGAACGGGGAGCAGCCCAGAGUCUGAAUCAGCUUGUGUGUUAGUGGAACGGUCUGGAAAGUCCGACGGUACAGGGUGAUAGUCCCGUACACCAAAAUGCACAGGUUGUGAACUCGAAGAGUAGGGCGGGACACGUGGUAUCCUGUCUGAAUAUGGGGGGACCAUCCUCCAAGGCUAAAUACUCCUGACUGACCGAUAGUGAACCAGUACCGUGAGGGAAAGGCGAAAAGAACCCCGGCGAGGGGAGUGAAAAAGAACCUGAAACCGUGUACGUACAAGCAGUGGGAGCACCUUCGGGUGUGACUGCGUACCUUUUGUAUAAUGGGUCAGCGACUUAUAUUCUGUAGCAAGGUUAACCGUAUAGGGGAGCCGCAGGGAAACCGAGUCUUAACUGGGCGUUAAGUUGCAGGGUAUAGACCCGAAACCCGGUGAUCUAGCCAUGGGCAGGUUGAAGGUUGGGUAACACUAACUGGAGGACCGAACCGACUAAUGUUGAAAAAUUAGCGGAUGACUUGUGGCUGGGGGUGAAAGGCCAAUCAAACCGGGAGAUAGCUGGUUCUCCCCGAAAGCUAUUUAGGUAGCGCCUCGUGAAUUCAUCUUCGGGGGUAGAGCACUGUUUCGGCUAGGGGGUCAUCCCGACUUACCAACCCGAUGCAAACUACGAAUACCGAAGAAUGUUAUCACGGGAGACACACGGCGGGUGCUAACGUCCGUCGUGAAGAGGGAAACAACCCAGACCGCCAGCUAAGGUCCCAAAGUCAUGGUUAAGUGGGAAACGAUGUGGGAAGGCACAGACAGCCAGGAUGUUGGCUUAGAAGCAGCCAUCAUUUAAAGAAAGCGUAAUAGCUCACUGGUCGAGUCGGCCUGCGCGGAAGAUGUAACGGGGCUAAACCAUGCACCGAAGCUGCGGCAGCGACGCUCAGGCGUUGUUGGGUAGGGGAGCGUUCUGUAAGCCUGCGAAGGUGACCUGUGAGGGCUGCUGGAGGUAUCAGAAGUGCGAAUGCUGACAUAAGUAACGAUAAAGCGGGUGAAAAGCCCGCUCGCCGGAAGACCAAGGGUUCCUGUCCAACGUUAAUCGGGGCAGGGUGAGUCGACCCCUAAGGCGAGGCCGAAAGGCGUAGUCGAUGGGAAACAGGUUAAUAUUCCUGUACUUGGUGUUACUGCGAAGGGGGGACGGAGAAGGCUAUGUUAGCCGGGCGACGGUUGUCCCGGUUUAAGCAUGUAGGCUGGUUAUCCAGGCAAAUCCGGAUAAUCAAGGCUGAGGUGUGAUGACGAGGCACUACGGUGCUGAAGUAACAAAUGCCCUGCUUCCAGGAAAAGCCUCUAAGCAUCAGGUAACAUCAAAUCGUACCCCAAACCGACACAGGUGGUCAGGUAGAGAAUACCAAGGCGCUUGAGAGAACUCGGGUGAAGGAACUAGGCAAAAUGGUGCCGUAACUUCGGGAGAAGGCACGCUGGUGUGUAGGUGAAGUCCCUGCGGAUGGAGCUGAGACCAGUCGAAGAUACCAGCUGGCUGCAACUGUUUAUUAAAAACACAGCACUGUGCAAACACGAAAGUGGACGUAUACGGUGUGACGCCUGCCCGGUGCCGGAAGGUUAAUUGAUGGGGUUAUCCGUAAGGAGAAGCUCUUGAUCGAAGCCCCGGUAAACGGCGGCCGUAACUAUAACGGUCCUAAGGUAGCGAAAUUCCUUGUCGGGUAAGUUCCGACCUGCACGAAUGGCGUAAUGAUGGCCAGGCUGUCUCCACCCGAGACUCAGUGAAAUUGAACUCGCUGUGAAGAUGCAGUGUACCCGCGGCAAGACGGAAAGACCCCGUGAACCUUUACUAUAGCUUGACACUGAACAUUGAGCCUUGAUGUGUAGGAUAGGUGGGAGGCUUUGAAGCGUGGACGCCAGUCUGCGUGGAGCCAACCUUGAAAUACCACCCUUUAAUGUUUGAUGUUCUAACGUGGGCCCCUAAUCGGGGUUGCGGACAGUGUCUGGUGGGUAGUUUGACUGGGGCGGUCUCCUCCCAAAGCGUAACGGAGGAGCACGAAGGUUAGCUAAUCCUGGUCGGACAUCAGGAGGUUAGUGCAAUGGCAUAAGCUAGCUUGACUGCGAGCGUGACGGCGCGAGCAGGUGCGAAAGCAGGUCAUAGUGAUCCGGUGGUUCUGAAUGGAAGGGCCAUCGCUCAACGGAUAAAAGGUACUCCGGGGAUAACAGGCUGAUACCGCCCAAGAGUUCAUAUCGACGGCGGUGUUUGGCACCUCGAUGUCGGCUCAUCACAUCCUGGGGCUGAAGUAGGUCCCAAGGGUAUGGCUGUUCGCCAUUUAAAGUGGUACGCGAGCUGGGUUUAGAACGUCGUGAGACAGUUCGGUCCCUAUCUGCCGUGGGCGCUGGAGAAUUGAGGGGGGCUGCUCCUAGUACGAGAGGACCGGAGUGGACGCAUCACUGGUGUUCGGGUUGUCAUGCCAAUGGCACUGCCCGGUAGCUAAAUGCGGAAGAGAUAAGUGCUGAAAGCAUCUAAGCACGAAACUUGCCCCGAGAUGAGUUCUCCCUGAGACUUUAAGUCUCCUGAAGGAACGUUGAAGACGACGACGUUGAUAGGCCGGGUGUGUAAGCGCAGCGAUGCGUUGAGCUAACCGGUACUAAUGAACCGUGAGGCUUAACCU